rnacentral:rRNA from 1 species
GAGUAACCAUUUUGGAGCUAGCCGUCGAAGGUGGGACAAAUGAUUGGGGUGAAGUCGUAACAAGGUAGCCGUAUCGGAAGGUGCGGCUGGAUCACCUCCUUU